rnacentral:lncRNA from 1 species
UUAUCUCCCUGGCAUCCAACCAAACAGACUUCAAAACCAGAGAGAGAAUAACUUCUAAAUUAUGCAGCUCUUCCUCCGCCACCUGGAUGCAACAACAAAAACAGAUGAGCUCAAACCUGAGAAAACCUGGAAUCUGCCCAAAUCAAGCCGUUUAUAGCUUCGAGGUAUUAAACAGCCACUAGGACAGUUGAUGAAUUUGAUGGAGUCAGUGGCAUUUCACAAGCCUUCACAGAAAAUCUAAACCAUGGGACCACUUUGAUUAGGGGUUGAGUGUAUUUCCUAAUCCCGCCCAUUUCCCCGACAAAUGAAUCUUCCUCCAUGUCAGCAAAUAAAGGCCGCUCUUCCUUCCAGGAAC